AAACUGAAGAGUUUGAUCAUGGCUCAGAUUGAACGCUGGCGGCAGGCCUAACACAUGCAAGUCGAGCGAGAAAGCA
rnacentral:ncRNA from 1 species